UCCCUGGUAUCUCAGCUGGUAGAGAAUUUGCCUGCAAUGCAGGAGACCCCGGUUCAAUUCCUGGGUUGCGAA
rfam:TPA: Bos taurus chromosome 12, whole genome shotgun sequence.